UACGAAGGGGGCUAGCGUUGUUCGGAAUCACUGGGCGUAAAGAGCGUGUAGGCGGCUAGAUAGGUCCGUUGUGAAAACUCGAGGCUCAACCUCGAGACGUCGAUGGAAACCAUCUGGCUAGAGUCCGGAAGAGGAGAGUGGAAUUCCUGGUGUAGCGGUGAAAUGCGCAGAUAUCAGGAAGAACACCCGUGGCGAAGGCGGCUCUCUGGUACGUGACUGACGCUGAGACGCGAAAGCGUGGGGAGCAAACAGG
rnacentral:rRNA from 1 species